CGCGGGCCGCGGUGGCCGUCCCUCCGCAGGGCGCAGGCAGCAAACUUUGGCGGCGUCCGCGCGGCGCCGUCUCCGCCGGCGCGCCGGGCUCGCCCCUUUAUAGAGUGUCUGCGCCGCCGCCCGCGCCCCCCCCGCCGCCGCCGCCGGGCGGCCCCUCCCGGAGCGAGCGGCCGCGGGCAGGGCUCCGACCCGGCGCCUUUGUCUCGCCCGGGCCGCUCGGGCGCCGCGCCUCCUGUUCCGGGCGCGCGGGGUCGGCCGGCCGCCUUCGCUGCUCCGCCGCGGCUCUCAGCGCCGCUCAGCGCGGCGGGCCCGCCCGGGCUCAGGUGCCCCCCGCUCUCCGGACCUUCUCGCCCGGCCCCGCGUCCCCUCCGCGGGCUUCCCCCGGCGGCCGGCCGGGCUCGGAGGCUCGCGGCCGGAGCGGAGCGGAGUGCGCACGCCGGGGUGGCAGGACUUCGGCAAGACCAACUUUCCGGUUCGGAAGCGGCGCGGGCCGCGCGGCUCCUCCCCUCCUCUCCCUCCCCUGCGUUCCCCCUCCCUUCCACUCCCCCCUCUCCCCGCCCCCCAACCCGCGGGCCCCACCGACUCCGGAGCGCCCGCCCCGCCCGCUGCUGCCACCGGGCCGCCUCGCCCCCGCGCCAGCCCGCCUGGGCCUCUGCGCCGCCGGCGGCUUCUUAAAUACAGGAAAGGGAGGGGACCGCAGGGCCCCGGUGUUCCCCACCCUAGUCCCCCUUCACCACGGGCCACCGGGCGCCAGCGGAGUGGGCAGCGAGCGCGACCGAAAGUUCCAACUCCACCAAACUCCCGCGCGCGGCCCACCCUUUCCCGGGAUUUCGGGGAUGACACGGGGGCCAGUGGUCCUGUCUGGUGUGAACCGUCAGCACAGAUGGCCUCCUGGAGCUUCCCCGAGUCGUUCGCUGGGGGAAGCGGGCGGUGAGCGGCCAGCCCGGGCGCUCCGCAGGCCGCGAGCUCCCGGCAGGGCUGGUGGCGGGGGUCCGCCUGGGGGAGGAAUCCCCGCCUGCUCCAUCGGACCCGGCCUGGCGCGGCUCGCGGCGCUCGGCGGGCUCCCUUCCAUUCUAGAAUCUUCCCGCUUGCUUCCCAGCCCGCGUUCUUCCGCCUGCCUUUAAUUGUGUGUGGACGUGGGGAGGAUCUUCUAAGUCCCUCCAACGAAGGCAAGUGUGAGACUCUGGCCCUUUAUUUGUAAGAAGCAAGCCUUCAGAUUGCAGAAGUGUCGCGCGGGUCGCCGUGCGUUGCGCGAGUGGGAAGAUGGAGGAGGCCGGCACGCUGCUUUCGUGGACGCAAGUGAACCGGGCGUGAAGGCAGGGUGCGAGCUCUGCCCUUGGCCCAGCCCUGCGUGGGCGCCGUCCCAGAUUCCGGGCGGUGCGGGGUGCAGAGAUCUGGAGAGACUUGCGGGCUCCCCAGCGCAGGCUGCUCUGGGAUUUCGUUGGAAGAUCCGGCAGAGCCUUGGAGGAGAGGGCCCGGGAGGCUGUGUGUGCAGCGGAAACUUGUACGAAUGCCCCCACAGCGGAAAUGGUGCGCACGAGUAAUUUCUGCGGUGCACCCUUUUAAAAAUUGACAAGUGAACAAGAUCAAUUUUUUAAGAAAGCAAAGGUAGAAAACAAAAGGCGUGCGACUUCUUGACUGGCUUGUUCCCGCCUUUCUUCCUUCUCUAUACUCAGAUCAGAAACUUUUCUUUAAUUGCUCUUAUUCAGUGCGACAACUUUUAAUAAAAGCAUUUGCAUUUUAAGCCUGAGUUGCAACCAUAGAUUUAUUGCGAAGUGACAACGUGUCUAUGGAAUAUUUUCGCAGAUGAGACAGGACAUGCGCUCUAGUCGUGCCCAGAUUAAAGCGACGCUGGGCCAUGUGCCUGUGUAGUGCAGACUCGGAGGGGCACACACAUACUCGUCACCACAUGACCACUGUCUAUUAAUAUUGUCAUACCUAAACACUCGCAAAAACAAAAGUUGCUUUUCUUCCCUGUAAUUAAAUCUAAUUUGUUAAUUGUCUUUCCUCUUGCAAUGUUGUUUUCAUCUUGAGGUGACACAUUAUUAUUUUGUCUAAUAUUAUUUACAAAUUAAUGCUGUAUAUUUUACAUUAGUGAAACAUAUAAUUAGGUGUUUGGUUCAAUCGGUAUCAUUCAGAUAAAACAAAGCCUAUCUGCAAGAUUGAUUGGAAGUGGAGUAGUUGGUUCUAAUUUACCAUCACAGUCACAGUUUAUUGAAGCUACCUGGCCCCAGAUUCACAGAAGCUAGUUUUACCUAAGGUGCAUUUGAUGCU
rnacentral:lncRNA from 1 species